rnacentral:rRNA from 1 species
UACGAAGGGUGCGAGCGUUGUCCGGAAUUAUUGGGCGUAAAGCGCGCGCAGGCGGUUUUUUAAGUCUGAUGUAUAAGUUCAAGGCUCAACCUUGGGACGCAUUGGAAACUGGGGGACUGGAGUGUAGGAGAGGAAAGUGGAAUUCCACGUGUAGCGGUGAAAUGCGUAGAGAUGUGGAGGAACACCAGUGGCGAAGGCGACACACUGGGCCAUUACUGACGCUGAGGCGCGAAAGCGUGGGGAGCAAACAGG